rnacentral:rRNA from 1 species
GAUGAACGCUAGCUACAGGCUUAACACAUGCAAGUCGAGGGGCAGCAUUAUCGAAGCUUGCUUUGAUAGAUGGCGACCGGCGCACGGGUGAGUAACGCGUAUCCAACCUGCCCACCACUUGGGGAUAACCUUGCGAAAGUAAGACUAAUACCCAAUGAUAUCCCACGAAGGCAUCCGAAUGGGAUUAAAGAUUUAUCGGUGAUGGAUGGGGAUGCGUCUGAUUAGCUUGUUGGCGGGGUAACGGCCCACCAAGGCAACGAUCAGUAGGGGUUCUGAGAGGAAGGUCCCCCCACAUUGGAACUGAGACACGGUCCAAACUCCUACGGGAGGCAGCAGUGAGGAAUAUUGGUCAAUGGGCGAGAGCCUGAACCAGCCAAGUAGCGUGCAGGAUGACGGCCCUAUGGGUUGUAAACUGCUUUUAUAAGGGAAUAAAGUGAGUCUCGUGAGACUUUUUGCAUGUACCUUAUGAAUAAGGACCGGCUAAUUCCGUGCCAGCAGCC